CAGCUACACCUUGCAGAUCAUAGCUAGCUAAAAUUUCUUCCAGCUCUUCAGGAGAAUCCUGGUGAUGAGGGCAGAAGCUGGGCAUGAAUGAGGCAGAGAACAGCUAAACUCUGCCAAUCUGAGAUCCUUCAGGAAACUUUAGUAAAAGUUGUUAAUGAGAGUCUCAAAAUAUAUUUAGCAUGGCAAAAACUUAUAUGUAUACACAUACACAUAUAUUUUUCCUUCACCACCCCCACCUCAGAAGCAGUCUAGGUGAGUUUGAGAACACUUAUAAUAUAUUAUGCAAUGUGAUAUGACAUUAUUAGAAGAGCAUUAGGCUAGGGUUCAAGGGCCCUGGAUUUUGCUUCAGUUUUGUCGGAGUCUUAGUUCAUUCAACUAAGGCCUCUUCCAGCUUGAAAAUGCUAUGAGGCCAGGCACAGUGGAGGCUGAGGCAGGAGGAUUGCUUGAGUCCAGGAGUUUUGAGACCAGCCUGGGCAACAUGGCAUAGUGAAACACCAUCUCUACAAAAAAUACAAAAAUUAGCUGGGUGUGGUGGUGCAUACCUGUAGUCCUAGCUACUCAGGAGGCUGAGGCAUGAGAAUCACUUGAACCUGGAGGGUGGAGGUUGCAGUGAGCUGAGACCGCAUCACUGCACUCUAUCCUAGGCAACAGAGCAAAACUCUGUCUCAAAAAAAAAAAAAAAAAGAAAGAAAGAAAAGAAAGAAAGAAAAUGCUAUGACUAGGUUUUAUGUAUUACCUGGUCCUUAAUGUGAGAUAUUUGAAUUGGGAAAAUUUGAUGGAAAAUAAUUUGAGAUGCAAAUAUGCAUUCUCCCCGCCCCCCUUAAAUGUUCAAUGCCUUUGCUAACAGUAGCCAGACGUCUGAAUGUGACUCACCAAGAGGAGUGUUUGGUAUUCAUAUUGAUGAUGACUCUGUAGAGGAAGAAUUUAAAGGUCAAGCAUGAAGAAACAGAUUUAGGAAGCCUUGGUGUUUUUAUCUGGAUACCCAUCAUUCUGACCAUUACAAUUAGAGAAUAUGGAAAAGAUGUCCUUUAAGAAAAAUUCUUAAGAGUCACAGCUCUGUUUAUAUGGAUUAAAAUACUUACCAAGAGCCCUCUAUGGGCCCCUAAGCCUAUCGGUCUGUGUUAUUACUCUCAUGGUUUUCAGUUUUGCUGGCCAAGAAAAAAGACCCAAAGGAGUAACAUAUUAUUUUCUACAAAGAUGUUCUAAAACCACUCAGGCCUGUGAGUGAAAUGAUUUGCUGCACUGCAAGGGAGGCUGGAGUGCAAUGACGCGAUCUUGGCUCACCACAACCUCUGCCUCCUGGGUUCAAGUGAUUCUCCUGCCUCAGCCUCCCCAGUAGCUGAAAUUACAGGCGUGUUGCCUCUACGCCCAGUUAAUUUUUGCAUUUUUAGUAGAGACAGAGUUUCACCAUGUUGGCCAAGCUGGUCGCAAACUCCUGGCCUCAAGGGAUCCCCCCACCUCAGCCCCUGAAAGUGCUGGCAUUACAGGCAGGAGCCACUGCGCUCUGCCUCAUUGUGGUUUUAAUUUGUAUUUCUCUAAUGGCAUGUGAUGCUGAACAUCUUUUCACAUGGUGAUUUGCUAUCUGUAUCUCCUUUUUGUUGAAAUGUCUGUUCAUGUCUUUUGCCCAUCUCCUAAUAGGAUUGUUUUGUUUUGUUUUUUACUGUCAAAUUUUGAUGAUGCUUUAUAUAUUCUAAAUACAAGUUUUUUCUUA